rnacentral:rRNA from 1 species
GCUGCGGCGUGCUAUACAUGCAGUCGAACGAACUCUGGUAUUGAUUGGUGCUUGCAUCAUGAUUUACAUUUGAGUGAGUGGCGAACUGGUGAGUAACACGUGGGAAACCUGCCCAGAAGCGGGGGAUAACACCUGGAAACAGAUGCUAAUACCGCAUAACAACUUGGACCGCAUGGUCCGAGCUUGAAAGAUGGCUUCGGCUAUCACUUUUGGAUGGUCCCGCGGCGUAUUAGCUAGAUGGUGGGGUAACGGCUCACCAUGGCAAUGAUACGUAGCCGACCUGAGAGGGUAAUCGGCCACAUUGGGACUGAGACACGGCCCAAACUCCUACGGGAGGCAGCAGUAGGGAAUCUUCCACAAUGGACGAAAGUCUGAUGGAGCAACGCCGCGUGAGUGAAGAAGGGUUUCGGCUCGUAAAACUCUGUUGUUAAAGAAGAACAUAUCUGAGAGUAACUGUUCAGGUAUUGACGGUAUUUAACCAGAAAGCCACGGCUAACUACGUGCCAGCAGCCGCGGUAAUACGUAGGUGGCAAGCGUUGUCCGGAUUUAUUGGGCGUAAAGCGAGCGCAGGCGGUUUUUUAAGUCUGAUGUGAAAGCCUUCGGCUCAACCGAAGAAGUGCAUCGGAAACUGGGAAACUUGAGUGCAGAAGAGGACAGUGGAACUCCAUGUGUAGCGGUGAAAUGCGUAGAUAUAUGGAAGAACACCAGUGGCGAAGGCGGCUGUCUGGUCUGUAACUGACGCUGAGGCUCGAAAGUAUGGGUAGCAAACAGGAUUAGAUACCCUGGUAGUCCAUACCGUAAACGAUGAAUGCUAAGUGUUGGAGGGUUUCCGCCCUUCAGUGCUGCAGCUAACGCAUUAAGCAUUCCGCCUGGGGAGUACGGCCGCAAGGCUGAACUCAAGGAAUUGACGGGGGCCCGCACAAGCGGUGGAGCAUGUGGGUUAAUUCAAGCUACGCGAAGAAGCUUACCAGGUCUUGACAUACUAUGCAAAUCUAGAGA